rnacentral:rRNA from 1 species
GUGCCAGCCGCCGCGGUAAUACCGGUGGCUCGAGUGGUGGCCGCUAUUAUUGGGUCUAAAGGGUCCGUAGCCGGCCUGAUAAGUUACCUGGGAAAUCCGGUGGCCUAACCAUCGGGCGGCCAGGUAAUACUAUCAGGCUCGGGACUAGGAGAGACCAGAGGUACUCAUGAGGUAGGAGUGAAAUCCUGUAAUCUUAUGAGGACCACCAGUGGUGAAGACGUCUGGUUAGAAUAGGUCCGACGGUGAGGGACGAAGGCUGGGGGCGCAAACCGGAUUAGAUACCCGGGUAGUCCCAGCAGUAAACGAUGCCAGCUAUGUGUUGCUGGAACCAUGGGUUCCAGCAGUGCCGAAGGGAAGCCGUGAAGCUGGCCACCUGGGAAGUACGGUCGCAAGGCUGAAACUUAAAGGAAUUGGCGGGGGAGUACCACAACCGGUGGAGCCUGCGGUUUAAUUGGAUACAACGCCGGGAAUCUUACCGGAGGGGACAGCAGUAUGAAGGCCAGGCUAAAGACCUUGCCAGAUCAGCUGAGAGGAGGUGCAUGGCCGUCGCCAGUUCGUACCGUGAGGCAUCCUGUUUAGUCAGGCAACGAUCGAGACCCGCAGUUCUUAUUUGCCAGCAUGCCCUUU